UGUGCCAAAGCUUGGCUGUGAGUGCCUGGAACAAAUGGAGAAUCUGCCAAGAAUCCUUAAGAGAAGGGGAAAGUGGCCCCUUACUUCCCCAUCAGAACAGGUAAAACUGGGGCACUGCAUUUCAUUGAUGACAUAAACUGCAGAGCAAAGUUUUGGCAUAGAGUUUCUGAUGUAGGAUAACUAAACCUGGUUAUUGGUGCAUCAAGGAAAGCUCUGGGUUGAUUUGUUCAAUGAUCCAUUGGUUUGUCUCAGGAAUCUUCUCCAACACCAAAGUUUAAAAGGGAAUACAUCUAAACGUAGUCUGAGAAUACAUGAUUCACUGACCUUGGUAAAACUAAGGACUUUGGGGCAAAAGGAAGUCUGGAUAGAAGGCCACUUGGAAAUCCUGAGCAAGAUAUCCUGGUUCCUCCCUUCCCCAAACCCACUGGAAUAUAAAUGUGAGGGGCAAAGACGAAUAUAAAAAUAUGAUUUUUAAAUGUUUCCAUAGAAGAAAGUGGUUUUUCAAAUAAUGUUGCAUGAUAUUUGGAGGUAUAUGAAGUUAGCCUAAAAGAUUCAGACCCAUUGAAUCUAACUCAUGUAUCAAAAUUGUCAGUUUUCUGCUUAUUCGUUGCAAACCAAAUGCGCAGAAUUUAUCCUUGAUAGAUAUCUCCAUCUUCAAACCUCUCCUGACAAGAUAAAUACCUAGAGGUGAAAUCUGGAGACAUAGAUGCUGUUGCUGUAGCUAUUGCACAUAGCAGAUCUUUCCUUUGUGAGUAUCUGCCAGAAGCAGUACACUCAGUAGAACUGCAAUGCCCCAAGGAGAGAAUUCUAACAUGGAAAAUACAUCUAUUAUUUCUGAUUUUGUAAGAAAGAGAAAAUAUUCCAUCUCACUUGUUGUACGCAAAUGUGUGAUGUAGGAGGGAACAGUAGGAAAUAAUCUCUACUAUGACAUUAUCCCACUUACUUGUGUUUUUUUUUAAAUAGAGAAAUGAAUGUUUUCUCUGUAAAAGCUCUUGUAAUGUCAACACUGUGCUUUGUAUAGCAAAAGAUUGAGUUUAACCUUCUGUAUAAUCUGUUACCAAACAAGCACCAAGCCAAGAAAUUAAAAGACACUUGUUCCUGGGGAGGAAAGCUAUGGCAAAUCUAGACAGCGUACUAAAAAGCAGAGACAUCACCCUGCCAACAAAAGUGUGUAUAGUCAAGGCUAUGGUUUUCCCAGCUGCAAUGUAUGGCUGUGAAAGUUGGACCAUAAGAAAGGCUGAGUGCCAAAGAAUUGAGGCCUUUGAACUCUGGUGCUGGAGAAGACUCCUGCAAGUCUCUUGGACUGCAAGGCAAACAAUUAAGUCAGUCCUAGAGGAGAUCAACCCUGACUGCUCUUUAGAAGGCCAGAUCCUGAAGAUGAAACUGAAAUACUUUGGCCACCUAAUGAGAAGAAAGGACUCACUGGAGAAGAGCCUAAUGCUGGGAAAGAUUGAGGGCAAAAGAAGUAGGGAACAAUAGAGAAUGAGGUGCUGGAUAGAGUCAUUGAAGCAGUAGGUGUGAGUUUAAAUGGACUCCAGAGGAUGGUAGAGGACAGGAAGGCCUGGAGGAACAUUCUCCAUGGGGUCGCGAUGGGUCAGACACAAAUUUAUAACCAACAACAACAAAAAAACAAGCACCACAGCAAGGAUAGAUCAUACCCACCUCAUUGACUUAGGAAGCAAGGAUCUGAUCUUAAGAAAUACUUAGGAUAAAAUGGAAUAGACAGCGGGAGAGAGGGAUGGAGGGAGAAAGAGAAUGAGCGAGAGGUUGUCGAAAUAUUACUCUUACCAUAACAUUCCCCCACAAAGAUAAACUUGAUAAUAAGUCUUACGUUAUACCUUUGCCAUUGUUGCUUUGACUUCCUUGUUGUUAAUGUUGUCAUUUUAGCUGCAGUCUUUGGCUAAAAAGUUGGUAAUCUCUGUAAUUGAACUCAAAA